GAUCCUGGCUCAGGAUGAACGCUAGCUACAGGCUUAACACAUGCAAGUCGAGGGCAGCAUGAAGUUUGCUUGCAAACUUGAUGGCGACCGGCGCACGGGUGAGUAACGCGUAUCCAACCUUCCCUAUACUAGAGGAUAGCCCGGCGAAAGUCGGAUUAAUACUCUAUGUUCUUCGUAGAAGACAUCUGAAAUGAAGCAAAGGUUUACCGGUAUAGGAUGGGGAUGCGUCUGAUUAGGUUGUGGCGGGCAACGGCCCACCAAGCCUACGAUCAGUAGGGGUUCUGAGAGGAAGGUCCCCCACAUUGGAACUGAGACACGGUCCAAACUCCUACGGGAGGCAGCAGUGAGGAAUAUUGGUCAAUGGACGAGAGUCUGAACCAGCCAAGUAGCGUGCAGGAUGACGGCCCUAUGGGUUGUAAACUGCUUUUAUACAGGGAUAAAGUGCACUACGUGUAGUGUUUUGUAGGUACUGUAUGAAUAAGGACCGGCUAAUUCCGUGCCAGCCGCGGC
rnacentral:rRNA from 1 species